AUUGAACGCUGGCGGCAGGCUUAACACAUGCAAGUCGAGCGGAGCGAGGGUGCUUGCACCUUAGCUUAGCGGCGGACGGGUGAGUAAUGCUUAGGAAUCUGCCUAUUAGUGGGGGACAACAUUCCGAAAGGGAUGCUAAUACCGCAUACGCCCUACGGGGGAAAGCAGGGGAUCUUCGGACCUUGUGCUAAUAGAUGAGCCUAAGUCGGAUUAGCUAGUUGGUGGGGUAAAGGCCUACCAAGGCGACGAUCUGUAGCGGGUCUGAGAGGAUGAUCCGCCACAAUGGGACUGAGACACGGCCCAGACUCCUACGGGAGGCAGCAGUGGGGAAUAUUGGACAAUGGGCGGAAGCCUGAUCCAGCCAUGCCGCGUGUGUGAAGAAGGCCUUUUGGUUGUAAAGCACUUUAAGCGAGGAGGAGGCUACUAGUAUUAAUACUACUGGAUAGUGGACGUUACUCGCAGAAUAAGCACCGGCUAACUCUGUGCCAGCCGCCGCCGUAAUAC
rnacentral:rRNA from 1 species